AGCCCCAAUACCUUAACUAAUUUAGUAGUCAUACACUCCACUCUUCCCUCAGAGUUACUUCUUACCCUGUUUGGCUUGCUUACCUCUUAAGCCUUCAUCCUUGCCCAUCCACAGGCUCCUUUAGCUGCAGAUAAAGAGAACAAUAAUCUACGGCUGAAGAAACUAUUGGGAUAAAGAAAAUGUGGGCUCCAACUGCAGGAAGCUACCGUAAAUAGUAUAAGAAAAUUACCACUGGAUCCAAAAUUAUUUGGAAAGAAGCAUGUUUUGAAGGGAGAAGAGGGAAAGAGACUUCAACAGUUGUACAUGCAGUUUCUGGAAUACUAGAUAAAUAUAUUACAGCAGCCACACUUUACAGAUCAUAAGCAAGCUUGGAGUGGACGGGAAAUGUAAUUUUUUUUGUCAUGUCCAUGAGAAUUAAGAGACAUGUAUGGUAUCACAGUCUUACUUUCCUCUCUAAAAUAAGGUCAUUUGAAUAUUAAUAAUGCUGUAGAAACUUAAAACUGACACCUUUUCAAAUUGAAUUAGUCUUGCUCCAUCUAAACAGCUUUUCUUUUGUUUCAUUGUGUUUGUGUGUGGUGGGGGGAGAGUUGGCAACUUUUUCUUAAAAACUGAGGCAAAAUUGCUAACAUCCUGGUACCCUGGGUACAACAUGGGCACAUACUACAUUGGAAGCCUGAGUGCACACUUUUCUUUGCUCUGUAAAUGGGGAACAGUAAAACUA